rnacentral:tRNA from 1 species
GGGGCUGUCGGCUAGUUUGGUCUAGGCUACGAGACUCGGACUCUCGUGACUCCGGUUCAAAUCCGGGCAGCCCCACCA